GACUAACGCUGGCGGCGUGCUUAACACAUGCAAGUCGAACGAAGUGGCGGACGGGUGAGUAACGCGUAAUCAACCUGCCCUUCAGAGGGGGACAACAGUUGGAAACGACUGCUAAUACCGCAUACUGAAGGCGGGGAUCGCGUGGGAUUAGCUAGUUGGAGGGGUAACGGCCCACCAGGGCGAUGAUCAGUCGCCGGUCUGAGAGGAUGAACGGCCACAUUGGGACUGAGACACGGCCCAGACUCCUACGGGAGGCAGCAGUGGGGAAUCUUCCGCAAUGGACGAAAGUCUGACGGAGCAACGCCGCGUGAGUGAUGACGGCCUUCGGGUGGUAAAGCUCUGUUAAUCGGGACGCGGUACCGGAAUAGAAAGCCACGGCUAACUACGUGCCAGCAGCCGCGGUAAUUC
rnacentral:rRNA from 1 species